GUGUAAUUUAACAAGACCUCCGUAAAACAAAACAAAUAAAAACAAAAUGUUGCAAUAUAUUUAUUGUUUCUAGCUUCAAGGUAUACAUUUGUACAAGUGAAGGAUAAAUCUAAAGACGAUGAACUAUACAAGUUUUAUCUACACUUAUGUGAAUGAACUGUUACCCAAGUGACUGAAAUUUUCCCUUCUUUUCGUAGCAUUAAAACAGUACUUAAGCUCCUGCUCCCUUUAUUAAAUACACUAAUGAU
rnacentral:lncRNA from 1 species